rnacentral:rRNA from 1 species
UACGUAGGGACCAAGCGUUGUUCGGAUUUACUGGGCGUAAAGGGCGCGUAGGCGGCGCGGUAAGUCACUUGUGAAAUCUCUGAGCUUAACUCAGAACGGCCAAGUGAUACUGCAGUGCUAGAGUGUGGAAGGGGCAAUCGGAAUUCUUGGUGUAGCGGUGAAAUGCGCAGAUAUCAGGAGGAACACCGGUGGCGAAGGCGGGUCUCUGGGCCGAUACUGACGCUGAGGAGCGAAAGCGUGGGGAGCGAACAGGAUAGAA